UGAACGCUAGCGGCAGGCUUAAUACAUGCAAGUGGAGGGGCAGCAUGAAGUAGCAAUACUUUGAUGGCGACCGGCAAACGGGUGCGGAACACGUACACAACCUUCCUUUAAGUGGGGAAUAGCCCAGAGAAAUUUGGAUUAAUACCCCGUAACAUUGCGAUGUGGCAUCACAUUGCAAUUAUAGUUUCGACGCUUAAUGAUGGGUGUGCGUAUGAUUAGAUAGGUGGCGAGGUAACGGCUCACCAAGUCUACGAUCAUUAGCUGAUGUGAGAGCAUGAUCAGCCACACGGGCACUGAGACACGGGCCUGACUCCUACGGGAGGCAGCAGUAAGGAAUAUUGGUCAAUGGACGCAAAUCUGAACCAGCCAUGCCGCGUGAAGGAUUAAGGUCCUCUGGAUUGUAAACUUCUUUUAUAUGGGACGAAAACAGAUCUUUCUAGGUCCUUUGACGGUACCAUAUGAAUAAGCACCGGCUAACUCCGUGCCAGCAGCCGCGGUAAUACGGAGGGUGCAAGCGUUAUCCGGAUUCACUGGGUUUAAAGGGUGCGUAGGCGGGCAGGUAAGUCAGUGGUGAAAUCCUGGAGCUUAACUCCAGAACUGCCAUUGAUACUAUCUGUCUUGAAUAUUGUGGAGGUAAGCGGAAUAUGUCAUGUAGCGGUGAAAUGCUUAGAUAUGACAUAGAACACCCAUUGCGAAGGCAGCUUACUACGCAUAUAUUGACGCUGAGGCACGAAAGCGUGGGGAUCAAACAGGAUUAGAUACCCUGUAGUCCACGCCCUAAACGAUGGAUACUCGACAUACGCGAUACACUGUGAGUGUCUGAGCGAAAGCAUUAAGUAUCCCACCUGGGAAGUACGUUCGCAAGAAUGAAACUCAAAUGA
rnacentral:rRNA from 1 species